rnacentral:lncRNA from 1 species
GUCAUCGCCGGUUGGAGGUAAUGGACGGGAGAAGUAAUACCACGGUCUUUGCGCCGCAGAAUCAAGCCACGGACUGCAAGGUGAAGACUGCGCCGGAAUACGGAUACGGGGACCAAGCCUACAUUUUGCCCCAUCCAAUUGCGUUUGCUCUUUUGGCGAGUCAGAGACUUGCUGUACGUGUGGCACGAGGUGACCGGCCUGCUGGCGGGCUAUCAUCCUGAACACCCUGUGCCAGCAGGCCAGGUA